CCUACGGGUGGCAGCAGUCGAGAAUCAUUCACAAUGGGGGAAACCCUGAUGGUGCGACGCCGCGUGGGGGAAUGAAGGUCUUCGGAUUGUAAACCCCUGUCAUGUGGGAGCAAAAUAAAAAGAUAGUACCACACGAGGAAGAGACGGCUAACUCUGUGCCAGCAGCCGCGGUAAUACAGAGGUCUCAAGCGUUGUUCGGAAUCACUGGGCGUAAAGCGUGCGUAGGCUGUUUCGUAAGUCGUGGGUGAAAGGCGCGGGCUCAACCCGCGGACGGCACAUGAUACUGCGAGACUAGAGUAAUGGAGGGGGAACCGGAAUUCUCGGUGUAGCAGUGAAAUGCGUAGAUAUCGAGAGGAACACUCGUGGCGAAGGCGGGUUCCUGGACAUUAACUGACGCUGAGGCACGAAGGCCAGGGGAGCGAAAGGGAUUAGAUACCCGGGUAGUC
rnacentral:rRNA from 1 species